rnacentral:lncRNA from 1 species
GUGUACUCAAGAGGUACCUAUACUUAUUUCAUUAUGCCUUAAGAAUGUCAACAAAUAAAACUCUAACAAGCAUUUGUAAGUCAUGUGUGAUUGUUUUAGUUACUGACAAUGUGGUAUAGAGCUCCUGAGGUCUUCGGGACUACACAUUACUCAGCAGCAGACGCGUGGUUCCUUAGCGCAUAUUUGUUAGGUUUCAUUUCAUUUAUUCUACCUGUUGGUUUAUAUUUGAUAGCAUAUGCAGAAUUCUACAUUAUUUGCAUCUUUACCAAAGUACCUGAUCAUCUCUCUCUCCUCUCACAUUCUUAGUUAUCUCCUGUAGCUAACUUAUGAGAAGCAAGCUCAAUUCCUUUGAUAUCCUGAACUCUAAAGCAGCGCUGCACUUUUUCUGGUUUGUGUAGAUAUAACACAUAUAUAUACAUAUAUUGCUGCUAAAGGUCGGUGCAUCAAUUGAGCUGGCAUGUUAUCUUUGCAAAGGAAAAUGGAGCUUUGGAGGAAAGGCCACCUGUAUAUUAAUUCUCCAAGCUUGUCCUGGUGAUCCGUGAAAAGUCGAUUACUUCACAAAAAGUUUUAUUCAAUGUAAGAACUUAUUCAAUUAUCAUAUUAAUAGAUGCUCCAUAUUUUGUUUCAGUUUGAUGGGUCAGAUUUCAUGAUGUAACGUCCUUUUGUACAGGCCUUGUUGACAAGAUCAAAGAAAUCAGUGAAAGAUCGCGAGGAUGAUGAUGUGCUGCUUGCUAUUGCUGCUGGAAAUAGAAUGACCCCAUCAUUCCACACAUGGAAUUUGAAUUCCUGAAUUCAGGCAUCCACGAAGACCUGGUACCAACUCAUAAAAAUUCCUGCAGUGAAGUUUGUACACUGAACGCAGGAUAAAGUCAUAAGAUUUGGACGACCUUCCUAUUAACCAAUGCUCUGGGUUUCUUGUUGGCCUCAAGGGGCAGAAGACCCAGAAAUGUCAUAAAGGGUAAGAAUCAUAUUUCAGCGAAGUAGUGCUCCAAUUGUUUGGAGAAAGUGAGUGGCAGUCCCUUGGUGGUACACCUGUCGUUACUACCAGCGAAUCAAGUCCUUCCCAUAAACAGCGUGAAAGUGGUUUCACCUGAACAAUCAAGUUCUGCCUAUCUUGGUGUAAAUGGUGAUAAAGUGGUUCUCAUGAUGGAGAUCAUACUACAUUAAAAGGGAUGCUUUAUGUAAAGCCCUCCACUUGGAAAUGUUCCGAGUACUUCUAUGUUGGCUGAUGAAACAUCAGGCUCAGCAACCAGGCUACCUCAACGAGCAUUAGCCUGCUUAAAUUCCUCCGUCUGCGGAUAGUGAUUCACGAACAGAAAACAAGGAAAACAAUCAGGUUUGCAUAUGCCCCUCCAUUUUGUAUAACUUGUAUUUACUACUUUGCAUUUCUCUGUUCUCUGACUUGGAUAACUGCGGUCAGUUUGGUUUUUGGUUUCAUGUUUUUUCUCAUUAUAUUGAUGACUGGGAUUUGUAAUGCAUUUUUCUGCAAGGAGCUUGUGCUGCUCCUAACAAGUGACAAUUCUGCUGUUUAGGGUAAUGCUUGAAUGAGACGGUGAUGAAAUUUUACAUCCAUCAGAACGUAUAGAGAAAGUUUUCUGUUAAUAAAUUCCUUGAAUUGGCAUUCUUAGGUGUAAGAGUUACAAAGUAGUUUAAAAACUUAGGGAAAUUUAGGUUAAUACGUGCUUUAGUUAAUUUAAAAUCUGUUUAAGAAGAAAUUGCAAUGCCUGCUAUGCAAUUACGAGUGCUCUAUUGUAAGUCAAUUGUCCAUUUCUUGGUGUUCCUAAUAUAUGUAUCUUUGGGAGUAUAAUAAUCAAAGAGGCCACAUAAUGCAUAUGUAAGAUGUAUACAUGUAUUUUAUAUCAGGAAUACCAGGUUGGGAAGAGCAGAGGAAGAAGGCCAUCAGGGGUGGUUAGGGAGGCGAGGUGACGACUGGAUGUGGUGAUUGGAGUAGAGGAGGGGAGAGGAGGUGUUAGGGUUGGCCGAGGAGGGAAGGAGAGGUGGCAGGGGGUUGGGGGCUGGGGAGGGAAGUGGGGGUGGCAAGGCAGGGAUAGCGAGGAGAUAGAGUGGUGGGGGAGGAGAGAAGGCAAGAUGCUGAAAAGUUGAGGAGGUGUGGAGAGGUGAUGAUGGGGGAAUGGGUGUGACAAGGAUGUGGCGACAGUGGUGUGGGCCACAUGGUUAAGGUUUCCAAUUAGAGUUUCAAAUGUGGAAGAUGAAGAAGAUAAAGGACAUAUUUGUCCUUUUGCAUUAAGCAGUCAACAUCCACUAUCUCUUCCAUGCCCACUCUCAAAUUAGGCAUGCGUAUGACAUUCUGUCAAUUUGGAUGAAUGAAAAAUGUUAAAAUUAAGACUUAGUUCAAUGUCCAAACCUUGUGAAGGGCAUUAUAUAUUUUGAAAGUCAAGAAGACAAAGUGCGCCCGCACAGGGCCCAAAACCAUAGGAGGUAAAAUGAUUUUUUCCUUAUUAUGAAAUAAUAGUGGUUUUACCCCCAGCAGUUGAGUUCC